UAGCGAAGCGAAGCAGUGAUGUGAAGCAAAUCGCACCAAAGCCGGUCCCAGUUCGGAUAAGAGGCUGAAACUCGCCUCUUUGAAGUCGGAAUCGCUAGUAAUCGCAGAUCAGCAUGUUGCGGUGAAUACGUUCCCGGGUCUUGUACACACCGCCCGUCAAACCAUGAGAGUCACCAACACCCGAAGUCCGCUUUGGCGGCCUAAGGUGGGGGAGAUGAUUGGGGUUAAGUCGUAACAAGGUACC
rnacentral:rRNA from 1 species